AUUGAACGCUGGCGGCAUGCCUUACACAUGCAAGUCGAACGGUAACGGGCCUUCGGGUGCCGACGAGUGGCGAACGGGUGAGUAAUGUAUCGGAACGUACCUUUCAGUGGGGGAUAACGUAGCGAAAGUUACGCUAAUACCGCAUAUUCUGUGCGCAGGAAAGCAGGGGAUCGCAAGACCUUGCGCUGAUUGAGCGGCCGAUAUCAGAUUAGCUAGUUGGUGAGGUAAAGGCUCACCAAGGCGACGAUCUGUAGCGGGUCUGAGAGGAUGAUCCGCCACACUGGAACUGAGACACGGUCCAGACUCCUACGGGUGGCUGCCUGAGACGCCAAGGCACACAGGGGAUAGG
rnacentral:rRNA from 1 species